rnacentral:rRNA from 1 species
GGAGGGAGCAAACGUUGUUCGGAAUUACUGGGCGUAGAGGGCGUGUAGGUGGUCGAGUAAGUCAGGUGUGAAAUCUUACCGCUUAACGGUAAAGUUGCAUUUGAAACUGCUUGACUGGAGGUCAGGAGAGGAGAGCGGAAUUCCCAGUGUAGCGGUGGAAUGCGUAGAUAUUGGGAAGAACACCAGUGGCGAAGGCGGCUCUCUGGACUGAAUCUGACACUGAGGCGCGAAAGCUAGGGGAGCAAACAGGAUUAGAUACCCUGGUAGUCCUAGCCGUAAACGAUGGGCACUAGGUGCUGGAAAUAUCGACGUUUUCAGCGCCGUAGCUAACGCAUUAAGUGCCCCCGCCUGGGAGUACGACCGCAAGGUUG